CUCCGGCCCAGCGCCCUGCCUCAAGCUCCGCCGCCGCCCGCCCUACCUCAGCGGCCGGGCACGGCGGGGCCCGCGGAGCCGGGGGGGGGCCGCGCCUCGGCGGGAAGCGGCCCCGAAGGCGUUACGGCGGGGCAGAGGGAGGAGCUCGCUAAGCCGCCCCUGAGGCGACAGAGCCACCCCGAAUCAGCACCGAACGCCUCUUACCCGCCCCGCGCUCCCUCCAGCGCGUCUCUUCUCCGCCGCUGCCACCCGAGGCCGACGGGCGACAGCCCCGCGUGUCAUAAACCGGCGACUGAGGAGGGACCCCGGCGGCUUCCGCCCGGCUCCCGCCGCAGAACUACAGCCCCCGGCUGGCGGCGCGGCCGCCAGGGCCAGCCCCACAAUGCGCCGGGCCGCCUGCUGCGGGCGGCCCCGCCAGCCGCCGCGGCCCCGCCGGGGCUGGGCGCGGGGCGGGGUUCCGGGCGGGCGGCUGGGCCCCGGCCUCAGGCGGCGGCGGUGGCGGCAAGGGGGGCGCUGCCCCGCCUGCGUGGCUUCCUGGCGGCACCGGGGGCGCCCGGGGCUCCGGGCCGGCCGCGCCCUCAGCCCCAGUGCGGGGGGAGCCGGGCGGGCCGAGGAGCGGCGCACGCCGCGCUCAGGAGGCGCCUGCGGGGAGCGGCCGCCGCGCUGGCAGGGGCGCAGCCCCGGCCUGGCCGCCGCGGGAGGCGGGGGGGCGCGGAACGGGUGUCCCGGAGCAAGGGAGGCGCUCUCCCGGGAGCCGCUCUCUCGCGUUCCGUUACUUCUGCCACGGACGGAUCGUCUCGGCGGAGGUCCGCGACCGGGAGCCGCCUCCCAACGCUGAAGGGGGAGCCGCAGCCCAGCGCCAGCGGAACCGGAGCGCCGUGCGCCCGCGGCGUCUGGAGGCGGCCCCGGCCCCGCACCCCGGCUCACAGGCAUGUUUCUCUCUUUCUUUCUCCCCCGCCUUGCUCGCUGCACCCGAGCUCUGGCCGAGCUGGGAUGGAUGUGUCAGCUCCGCUGUGCAACACUGUCACUCUCUGCAGUAUAUAUUAA
rnacentral:lncRNA from 1 species